AUUGAACGCUGGCGGCAUGCCUUACACAUGCAAGUCGAACGGCAACAGGUCUUCGGAUGCUGACGAGUGGCGAACGGGUGAGUAAUACAUCGGAACGUGCCUAGUCGUGGGGGAUAACUACUCGAAAGAGUGGCUAAUACCGCAUGAGAUCUACGGAUGAAAGCCGGGGAUCGCAAGACCUUGUGCUACUAAAGCGGCCGAUGGCAGAUUAGGUAGUUGGUGGGAUAAAAGCUUACCAAGCCGACGAUCUGUAGCUGGUCUGAGAGGACGAUCAGCCACACUGGGACUGAGACACGGCCCAGACUCCUACGGGAGGCAGCAGUGGGGAAUUUUGGACAAUGGGCGCAAGCCUGAUCCAGCAAUGCCGCGUGCAGGAUGAAGGCCUUCGGGUUGUAAACUGCUUUUGUACGGAACGAAAAGCCCCGGGUUAAUACCCUGGGGUCAUGACGGUACCGUAAGAAUAAGCACCGGCUAACUACGUGCCAGCAGCCGCCGUAA
rnacentral:rRNA from 1 species